UACGUAUGGUGCAAGCGUUGUUCGGAAUUAUUGGGUGUAAAGGGUAUGUAGGCGGAGUUAUAAGUCAGAUGUGAAACCUAAGGGCCCAACCCUUAGCCUGCAUUUGAUACUGUGAUUCUAGAGUUUGGGAGAGGCAAGCGGAAUUCCUGGUGUAGCGGUGAAAUGCGUAGAUAUCAGGAAGAACACCGGUGGCGAAAGCGGCUUGCUGGCCUAAAACUGACGCUGAGAUACGAAAGUGUGGGGAGCGAACGGG
rnacentral:rRNA from 1 species